rnacentral:lncRNA from 1 species
AUCUGUACUGUAAAGAUGGAGUGUUGAACUAAAUUUAGGCUGUUGAAUGAUAAAGCAGGAAGUAGCUCAAGACAGAAAUACAAAAUCAAAUCAAACUCACUCUUCAAGAGAAGAAGCUGGGACCCAGGAGGAUGUCUCAGAACAGGACAAAUAUUUGCAUGUGAUCGGCAGAGAGGCUGUACCGUUGUACACACUCACCAGUGGUACAUGAGGAUUCCAAUUUCCCCAAAUCCUUGCCAACAUGGUGUUUUCUGCAUUCUUAAUUAUCAUUGCCAUCCUAGCUACACAAGAAUGAUGCUGACGUCACCUGGCUUCGGGGAGGCCUCUGGAAGCUUACAAUCAUGGUGGAAGGAGAAGUGCAAGCAGGCCAAAGGAGAGGCAAGAGAAGGAAACUGCCACACACGUUUAAAUGACCAGAUCUCACAAGAACUCAGUUACGAUUGCGAGGCAGUACCAAGGGGAGGGCGCUAAGCCAUUCAUGAGAAAUCCACCCCCAUGAUCCAGUCACCUCCCACCAGGCCCCACAGCCAAUAUUGCGCAUCACAUUUCAACAUGAGAUUUAGGCAGGGACACACAUCCAAACUAUGUCAUAUAGCAACAAUACAUUGUGUGAAGACUCUAUGUGCCAGCCACGGCUCAUAGGUAUGGGGAUUUAGUAACACAUGCCUUAUGUGUAUUUGUCUCCUGUUCUUGAAGAUACCUUGCAAUGUAAGGGUUAUUAUUUCUAUUGUAUAGAUGAGGAAACUGAGAAGCAGAUAUGUUAAUGAGUGGACAAAGACCUCACUGCUCACAAGUGGCAGAGUCAGGACCCAAACUCAGGUCUGUCUGACUUGAAAGCCAGAACUUAUCCUACUCACUCACCAGUUUGGUACAUUUUGCUCUGGGGUCCUUAGGGCCUCCAUGAGUCCAUUUGGGGCCUUUCUGGCCAUAGAGAGGAGGACCAACAGAGGGUUUGGGUCUCUGGGGCCAGCACACACUUUAAUUAGGGCAACCCUGCUUCGAUCUCUUUUCUAAUCUGUGACUUUUGAAUAUGAUUGUGUUUGGGCAGGAAAAAAAAGAGAGGUUUCUGGUGCUUUAAAACAUGUUUGAAAUCCACUGCGAAAUCAUGUUACUUCAUGGAAGAAAAUCCCAAAGCUCUCGCAGCCUCUUGUAAAAUAGAGGUUUCAUUAAAGGAUGGCUUUUUCUAAGCCUUAUAGAUAGAAACGUGGUAUUGCAUUUGUACACACUUGCAGUCACACAUGUGCACAAAUACACACACACACAACCUCCCUCCACUCCCCAAUUCCUGCGCAGUCCAAUUCCCUACUCCAGACAGAGGAUGCCAGCUCCAGGGGAAGUUGCCUCUGAACGCCCACUCACCAGAAAAAAAAGGUGGCUCUUGCCAGCAAUUGCACCCACACUUCCCAGCAGUCCUGGCUGUUGCCAUUCAUUGGUCAGGUAUGAUGCUGCCUGCUCACCUUUGACAGCCUUCCCAGCAGCCAACCAGCCCAGAGAGUCUCCAAACCAGAGCCACCAUUCUUGCGAAGUGAGUUCCCACCCACCCGAGAGGGAGAUCCUUAGCUCCUCAUCAUCGCCAGUCAUGAUGAUGAGAUACUCUGGAAGACAUCCAUUCUGUGGAAACCCCACAAGGUGAGGCCACGUCUAAAUAGCUUACAGGUGAGUGUCCUUCCUCCCUGCCUGACCACUGGCUUGGAUGGAGAGGCGGUUGCAUGGCCAGGUGAGGGGGCCGCGGGGCUGUGCACUCCCACAUCACAUUUCUGAUUUUCCAGACAGCAUGUCUCAGCAGGGUGCUGAUCUGGGCCUGGAAAUCCCCGUCCAGAGUGUUGAUCUCUGUCUUGAGCUCUUUGCAUUUCCCUUGUUAGGAGAUUAGGGCUGUCCGACAAGUUCGUCGGAGGUUAUUGCAGG